rnacentral:lncRNA from 1 species
ACACAUGUUGGCAAUAGGAAGAGGUUAUUUUUCCACAAGUCAUAUUAAAGAUGACUGGGUGUUGACACAAUACAGAAAAUCGCUGGUGAAGGAUUUUAACCUUCUUUAGCAAUGAGCAGGUCACCUCAUGGAAAGAUAGGACAGAGUUUUCUGAAAUCUUCCCAGGAGCUUAACGAAUGGAUUUGAGCAUGAUUAUAAAAAUGGCUGCAUAAAUAUUUUUCUUUGCUCAUUUCAGAGCAUGGUAAUCAGAAAGGCUCUUUGAAAACCAUAUUUUUAUCUGCACCUCAGAUUCAUCCAUACCCAUUAGCUGCUUAAUUAGGCGAAACAAACUUUAAGUUGCAUGCCAGGGGCUUAAUUUAAUUUGCCUGGGAUAAGCAGUUGGCCAUAGCUGUGAAGCCUUGUGUUUUUAGAAAUUAUACUAGAGUAUUGAAGCAAAAACUCUUAAAAUACAGUGUGGAAAUUGAAGCAGACCGUAGUUCAUAUUGUGUGGGAAAUUUAAAGAGGUCUAAUAGCCAGUAAGCAGGUAUGUGAGUCACAUCUCCCUGAUGUUGUUCACAUUCCAGUUGCUUGUUUUUUCACUCUAGUCCUGUGGAUUCUAAAGUAGUACAACUCAAGUGACAUCAGUUCAUGAAGACAAAAGAAGCUUUUUGUUUGAUUUUGGCUGGGUGGGUGUUUUGUUCAGGCAAGUAUUGAGCAGAAGAAAAAAUGUCUUUAUAAAUCCUUAGCUUAAUGGAUUUUUAAAAAAUCAAAUGUAAAUUCUAUUAAACUACUUUUCAGUUAUCACAUAAUUUACUUAGGCAUUUCUGCAUAGCAAAAUAUAUUUGGUCUAAAUGCAAAGGGAAAAAAGUGAUUUAACUUUGCAAGAAACUGUUCCUUUGUUUUUUUAAAAAUAAGUAUUUUUAAAUUUUAUGGGUACAUAGUAGAUGUAUUAUUUAUGAGGCACUUGAGUUAUUUUGAUAUAGGCAUACAAUAUGUAAUAAUCACCUCAGGGUAAAUGGAGUAUCCAUCACCUCAAGCAUUUAUCAUUGCUUUGGGUUACAAACAUAC